ensembl:lncRNA
UUUGAGAAGAUAGUUCUUUUAUAAAUAAGCAGAAUGCAUGUGUUCUUAAUAGGAAGGAGUGCCUCUGUAACUCACACUGUAAAUCUCAUCUUGCUAUCUUAAACACAGGACUCCAAGUAAGUUUUGGCAAAGCUGCACACGUUAACCAAAACUCAGAGUGUUUAAAGGAGACACAAAAAUGUGUGUGUCUGUGUGUUGUUAGAUUAGACCACUUUUGUUUGUCUGGAACUGUCUUUUAAACGAGCGUCAGACAUGGCUUUGGAAAACAUCAAGAUAGAGAUUGUGAGCUCACUGGAAUUGCUCCAAACUUUUCCAAAUAUAAGAAGAAAGAAAGAAAGAAAGAAAGAAAGAAAGAAAGAAAGAAAGAAAGAAAGAAAGAAAGAAAGAAAGAAAGAAAGAAAGAAAGAAAGAAAUGCAUUCAGAUGGAGAUGUAAUGUUUAUGGAGAAUAACUAAAUCAUUAAUUUAAAAAAAAUAUUAGUAGAGGAUAAAUUGUUUAUUUAUAGCACAACAGAAAAAAAACUGCAUAAUUAUGCUGUGUGAGAGUUUAGAUAGGGGUUCUGAGGUGCAAGACAGCACUCCUGAUUGUUUUGUUUUCCUUCCCUCUGUUCACUCAGUGCUGCAUCAAAGCAAGAGGUGCAAGAGAUUCGUGUGUUUAAAAAUUAAAUCUAAAUGAAAUGUGUAAAGACACCUUGUUACAACUGAUCACUGUGUGUGUGUGUGUGUGUGUGUGUGUGUGUGUGUGUGUGUGUGUGUGUGUGUGUGUGUGUGUGUGUGUGUGUAUUGAAAGCAUGGGUCACACUUGUACACUUUGUGAUCCCAAAUCUCAUUCUUCCAACACACCACAGAGCCUGACAGCAGCAAUGUGACUUCUCAGUCUCAACAACACGAACGAUGUUUGGAUCCUCCACAAAUGCUUUUUGGGGUAAGGGCUUCCCAGGUUCAUGUAUGCACAGCAAGCCCAGACCGCAAAAAGAUUCGUGACGGACAACUGCAACAGCUUCAGAAAAAAGAAGAAAGAAAGAAAAAGAAAAAAAACUCCAGUCAUCGAUUCCUCGGGGUCUUCAUCCUCAAAGUGUUUUCAGAUUUUAGAAAGAAAGAAAAAAAUGGAGAAGAAAAGAAACGUUGCUCAUUAGGGCGAUUUUUGCACAUGAUCACGAGCUUAGAUGACUUCCCAGCGAAGACGUAUCUAGCAAAAUUGAGCUCGAAUCCGCUGGAUCGGCAUAGCUUCGCAACAGCGCGAAUCCUUGUUAUUAAAAAAGAGCGGCGACGAAGAGAGGCGGCAUCUCAUUGCCGUUAUAGACUUUAACACGCAGCAGAGGAUGGCAGCGAGCUGAUUGGACAGGACGAGUCGCCAUCGACCAAUAGCGACGUAAAGGAAAGGAGCACCUAAGCAGGAGGCCGAAGCACCUGACAGUUUUUCAUGACCACCCCCCACCCCACCGCCUCCGAAACACCCCCUCCCAAACAACGUUCACUACGGACAUUAGUGUGACACCCAG